UAAUAAUGCUUAAUAUUAUGUAUUGUGCGCAUAUUUUGAUAUUUGAGUUAGGGUUUAUAUUUUCUUUUAGGGUUUAGUGAUUAGUGUGUUGAGUUUAGUUUAUGGAACGUUUGUGUUGAUUUUGGAGUAAGCAUUACUUCAUAUACAUUUCAAAAUUUGAACAUUAAUAUAUACUAUGUUAUUUCGUUUGUUACUGUUCUAUUUUGAUAAUGCUUCAUAUUAUGUACUAUGUGCAUAUUUGAUAUUGGAUUAAAGUUUAUAUUUUAUUUUAAGAUUUAGUGAUUAGUGUUUUGUGUUUAGUUUAUGAAAAGUUUGUGUUGACUUUGGGAUAAACAUUACCUCCUUCACUGCAAUCAUAAAACAUUUCAAAAUUAGAAAAUUAAUAUGUACUAUGCUAUUUCGUUUGUUAUUAUUCUAUUUUAAUAAUGAUUCAUAUUAUGUACUGUUUGCAUAUUUUGAUAUUAGGAUUAGAGUUUAAAUUUUAUUUUAGGGUUUAGUGAUUAGUGUUUUAAAGGUUUAGUUUACGUAAGUUUUGGGUUGACAUAAAAUAAACAUUAUUUCCACUAUUAUUAUUAAUUUCAUUGAUACGAACUAUACCAUAUGUAGAAUAUUCUUAUUCUA
rnacentral:lncRNA from 1 species